UCAUCGGCCUCAGAUUGGUAGGACUACCCGCUGAACUUAAGCAUAUCAAUAAGCGGAGGAAAAGAAACUAACAAGGAUUCCCCUAGUAACGGCGAGUGAAGAGGGAAGAGCCCAAGAUUGAAAGCUGGCGUCUUCGGCGUCCGCAUUGUAAUCUCAAGAAGUGUUUUCCGCUUCGGACCAAGCCUAAGUCCCCUGGAAAGGGGCAUCAUAGAGGGUGAUAAUCCCGUACAUGGCUUGGAGCGCCCGUAGCUUUGUGAUACACUUUCUAAGAGUCGAGUUGUUUGGGAAUGCAGCUCAAAAUGGGUGGUAAAUGCCAUCUAAGGCUAAAUAUUGGGGAGAGACCGAUAGCGAACAAGUACAGUGAUGGAAAGAUGAAAAGAACUUUGAAAAGAGAGUUAAACAGUACGUGAAAUUGCCAAAAGGGAAGGGUAGGAGGUCAGAGAUGCGGCCUAGGAUUCAGCCUUGCUUUUGCUUGGUGUUUUUCCUAGAUUGCAGGCCAACGUCGGUUUUGGGCACUGGAGAAGGGUGGAAGGAACGUGGCACCUCUCGGGGUGUGUUAUAGCCUUCUACUGGAUACAGCGACCGAGACCGAGGACAGCAGCGUACUCGCAAGAGCGGGCCUUCGGGCACCUUUACGCUUAGGGCGUUG
rnacentral:rRNA from 1 species